rnacentral:rRNA from 1 species
UUCGUAUUGUUGUGAGAGAGGUGAAAUUCUUAGACCACAGCAAGACGAACUACUGCGAAAGCAUUUGCCAAGAAUGUUUUCAUUGAUCAAGAACGAAAGUUAGAGGUUCGAAGGCGAUCAGAUACCGCCCUAGUUCUAACCAUAAACUAUGCCAACUAGCAAUUUGCUUAUGUAUGUUUUAUGACUAAGUGAGAGGCCACGGGAAACCAAAGUAGGGUUAUGGGGGAAGUAUGGUUGCAAAGCUGAAACUUAAAGGAAUUGACGGAAGGGCACCACCAGGAGUGGAGCCUGCGGCUUAAUUUGACUCAACACGGGAAAACUUACCUGGUCCUGACACUAGAAGGAUUGACAGAUUGAUAGCUCUUUCUUGAUUUGGUGGAUGGUGGUGCAUGGCCGUUCUUAGUUGGUGGAGUGAUUUGUCUGGUUAAUUCCGAUAACGAACGAGACUCUAGCCUAUUAAAUAACACGCGGAAUCUUGUCUUCCGUGACGUUCUUAAUGGGAUCAAGUGUGUUUAACACUU